UACGUAGGGUGCGAGCGUUGUCCGGAAUUAUUGGGCGUAAAGGGCUCGUAGGUGGUUUGUCGCGUUGUUCGUGAAAACCGGGGGCUUAACCCUCGGCGUGCGGGCGAUACGGGCAGACUUGAGUACUGCAGGGGAGACUGGAAUUCCUGGUGUAGCGGUGGAAUGCGCAGAUAUCAGGAGGAACACCGGUGGCGAAGGCGGGUCUCUGGGCAGUAACUGACGCUGAGGAGCGAAAGCGUGGGGAGCGAACAGG
rnacentral:rRNA from 1 species